rnacentral:rRNA from 1 species
AGUGAACGCUGGCGGUAUGCCUAACACAUGCAAGUCGAACGGCAGCACAGUAAGAGCUUGCUCUUACGGGUGGCGAGUGGCGGACGGGUGAGGAAUACAUCGGAAUCUACCUUUUCGUGGGGGAUAACGUAGGGAAACUUACGCUAAUACCGCAUACGACCUACGGGUGAAAGCAGGGGAUCUUCGGACCUUUCGCGAUUGAAUGAGCCGAUGUCGGAUUAGCUAGUUGGCGGGGUAAAGGCCCACCAAGGCGACGAUCCGUAGCGGGUCUGAGAGGAUGAUCAGCCACACUGGAACUGAGACACGGUCCAGACUCCUACGGGAGGCAGCAGUGGGGAAUAUUGGACAAUGGGCGCAAGCCUGAUCCAGCCAUACCGCGUGAGUGAAGAAGGCCUUCGGGUUGUAAAGCCCUUUUGUUGGGAAAGAAAAGCAGCAGGUUAAUACCCCGCUGUUCUGACGGUACCCAAAGAAUAAGCACCGGCUAACUUCGUG